rnacentral:rRNA from 1 species
GACGAACGCUGGCGGCGUGCUUAACACAUGCAAGUCGAACGAAGUGGCGAACGGGUGAGUAACGCGUAAUCAACCUGCCCUUCAGCGGGGGACAACAGUUGGAAACGACUGCUAAUACCGCAUACUGAAGGAGGGGAUUGAGUCUGAUUGGCUAGUUGGAGGGGUAAAGGCCCACCAAGGCGAUGAUUAGUAGCCCGUCUGAGAGUAUGAACGGCCACAUUGGGACUGAGAUACGGCCCAGACUCCUACGGGAGGCAGCAGUGGGGAAACGUCCGCAAUGGACGAAAGUCUGACGGAGCAACGCCGCGUUAGUGAUGACGGCCUUCGGGUUGUAAAGCUCUGUUAAGCGGGACGCGGUACCGGAAUAGAAAGCCACGGCUAACUACGUGCCAGCAGCCGCGGUAAUUC